UUGGCAAGGCCAAGCUGCCCGGGACUGCCUGUUGGUCUACACUCACCACCAACCUCCCUCUCCUGCCCACCCCCACCCCCAGCUUUGGCAGAGCUGAGCACUGCAAUGCACCAGGUCUGGGUCAAGUUUGAUAUCCGGGGGCACUGCCCCUGCCAAGCUGAUGCCCGGGUAUGGGCCCCCGGGGAUGCAGGCCAGCAGAAGGAAUCAACACAGAAAACGCCCCCAACUCCACAACCUUCCUGCAAUGGCGACACCCACAGGACCAAGAGCAUCAAAGAGGAGACCCCCGAUUCCGCUGAGACCCCAGCAGAGGACCGUGCUGGCCGAGGGCCCCUGCCUUGUCCUUCUCUCUGCGAACUGCUGGCUUCUACCGCGGUCAAACUCUGCUUGGGCCAUGAGCGAAUACACAUGGCCUUCGCCCCCGUCACUCCGGCCCUGCCCAGUGAUGACCGCAUCACCAACAUCCUGGACAGCAUUAUCGCACAGGUGGUGGAACGGAAGAUCCAGGAGAAAGCCCUGGGGCCGGGGCUUCGAGCUGGCCCGGGUCUGCGCAAGGGCCU
rnacentral:lncRNA from 1 species